rnacentral:pre_miRNA from 9 species
GCCGCGCGUCGUCGAGAUAUGUUUGAUAUUCUUGGUUGUUUGUUUUGGAUCACCCGGGAAUCAAACAUAUUACUCUACGACCGCGG